rnacentral:rRNA from 1 species
CCUACGGGAGGCAGCAGUCGAGAAUCAUUCACAAUGGGGGAAACCCUGAUGGUGCGACGCCGCGUGGGGGAAUGAAGGUCUUCGGAUUGUAAACCCCUUUCAUGUGGGAGCAAAUUAAAAAGAUAGUACCACAAGAGGAAGAGACGGCUAACUCUGUGCCAGCAGCCGCGGUAAUACCGAGGUCUCAAGCGUUGUUCGGAAUUACUGGGCGUAAAGGGUGCGUAGGCUGUUUUGUAAGUUGCGUGUGAAAGGCCCGGGUUAAACCCGCGGAAGGCAGAUGAAACUGGGAGACUAGUGUAUUGGAGGGGGAACCGGAAUUCUAGGUGUAGCAGUGAAAUGCGUAGAUAUCGGGAGGAACACUCGUGGCGAAGGCGGGUUCCUGGACAUUAACUGACGCUGAGGCACGAAGGCCAGGGGAGCGAAAGGGAUUAGAUACCCGGGUAGUC